rnacentral:lncRNA from 1 species
AUCCUCUUGACUAAGAUGACAAACCAACCAUUUCAACAGAACUCUCUUGGAAAGUUACUGAAGAAGCAUUCAGAGACACUGGAAGGCUGGAAGAGAAUUUCCAUCCUUAGUGCUUGCCUCCUUUGGGUUAGCUCCAGGAAAAAACACAAUGCUGUGGUAAGUGAUGGUCUGUGGUGAGGCACAGAGGGACUGUGCCAAACUUAGCAGCCACCUUGCCCCUCUCCUGUGAAAGUUGGAUGUCACACAAAUGCAUAGGCUACAGCUUGCUCAGGGGCUGAAAGGGCAAACUCCUCAAUCUCUGAAACACCCUGGAAGGGCCUGGACUCCUGGAUCUGCCAGGAAGAAAAGCAUGACUCACACUCAUCCUCCUCAAGUUCCCUGUUUUCCCUCCUUGCAGAUGAAUACCCUGAUCCCCUGAUCAUCAGCAGGGAAAAUGUCAAAGGGUAGUUUGCUUCCUCUGCGUUGGGUCCAAAGAUGCAGUCCCAAGGAAGGCUAAGCUUUCAGAUUUUUUCAUCACUACACCUAUUUGAAUUAAAAACUGUAUGUUAUAGUAGAAAUUGCCAUAGACAGGCUUAUUCACCCUUUUCCUGUCUGUCUUCCCUUUUUUCUUUUUCCACCCUCUUAGCUCCCCCCAUUCUUCCCCCUACCUAACCCUCACACUCAGGUGGAAGCCUUUCUCCUGGAGUGGAAAGAAAGGAAGAGCUAGACUUACAGCAGAGUUGAGAGAGGCAGUAUGGAAGCUGUGGUCACUACUGCACUUUCUUGCUGGGAUGAAGGGUCAGAGCAUCCCAACCUCUUGGCCCUCAAAUGCUGAGAUGCUCUGCUUUGAGUGUGGCAAAUAGCAUGUACACCACACCCAAAGAGCUCCAUUCCAUACACACCCAUGCACACGGCUAUGGGUCCGACACAGAGUGCAUUGCCAGAUGCAAAUGUACAGAGGUGCUUUUAAUUUUGUUCCAAGUGUUACACAUCAUGUGGCAAAUUGGCCUUCAGAAAGCCAAUUUUAUUUUUUUCUGUUAAUAAUAAAAGACUUCUUAAACAAGCUUAAAGUAUGUGAUUGAGAAUUAAGAGUGUACAUCUUUAUGGCUCAAGUGUUUCUUAUCUGAUUUUAAAAAGAAGACUAAUACACUUUUUUUUAAAUAAGGAAGGUUUUUUUGUUUUUUGUUUUUUUUAAUGGAAGAGUUUGGUUAACGUUAGAACUGUCCAGUGGUUCUGCUGUUCACAUGCGUUUAAGAAAAUAAUAAGAACAUUUAAAUCCUUUAAAAAUCCUUUUACAUUUUUAAUGGAUUGUGAAUUUUAAAAAGUAAGCUAGGAAAUUAGUCAUAUACUCUUACCAUCUUCUUGAUAAAAAUUAUCUAUGAAAUGUCCACUUUACCUAAACUAUCAGCAUUUCAUAUUAUCUUAAACAUUUCAACCUGUGUUUGUAGUUGUAAUAUGAGAUUAUAGUAAAAUACAACGGAAGCAUAACUCAUUUUGUGAAACUUACAUGGGGAGAAAAUAUUACUUAUUUUGCAGGUGGGUAACCGGGAUUCUAAAAUCUUGUCACUUGCAUUAAUCUCUUGUUGGUCUGACCUGGUUGAGAUCUGACACAACAGAAGGAUUUCCAGAUGAGUUGGAAGCACCCUGAUUGUGAACUUCCCACAACUCUCUGAGCUGAACUUUAGUGUAUACUUCAAGACUGGUCUUAAAUGUGGUCUUCAAUGGGAAGAAAAGUGCAAAAAUUUUUUUGUUAAGGAAAAGAAAAUGAGGAACCUUUUAAUAAAUACUGUUAGGACCAUUGAGUCCAGUUACCUUCUAUAAUGUGAAUGGAAGGAAUCAUUAUAGCUGACUGAGCCGUUGACAUGGUUUCUUCAUUCAGGAUCCUGGCCAAAGGAAUAGCAUGUCAAUGUGUAAAAUUCUAGCCAAAGAUAAGCCAUUACAAUGGAAAUCGCAAUGUGCAAAGUCUCAUUGAAGCCAAUGAAAUUGAGUGUAAUAUCCAUACAGCAUUCUCAUCUGCUUGCUCCAGGAUUUAGUAUGCAGCUCUGCACUGAAAUGAGAUUAUGCAUAUAAAAUGCCAAUAUAGAAUACACUGCCCAAUAAAACAUUAGAAGAGCAACUUACAGCCCAUAGACAUGGGCUUUACUUAAAUUUGAACUUCAUAUACAAAAUAAACCAGAGCCCCAUCAGAACACUAAAUCUACACCAUGCCCUAGAUCUGGAUUUUCAUGCUUCUUUCUGCAUGACUCCCCGACCCCCUCUCCUAUCCAAACACAAUUCUUUUAAGGGCACUCUUCAAAUCAUCUAGCAAUUCCCAAAGGGAACCCAGGAGUCUCUUAAACUGCCUUUCUAAAUUAAAGGGCCCCAAACAAUGUAAGUGCAUUUUUGACCAAAUACAUAUAUUUGUAUGUGAAUGGAAUUAUAUAUACAUAUAUCAUAUAUACAUGUACAUAUUAGAAAGCAUUUGGAUCUGAGAACCUAUGGUUUCAUU